rnacentral:rRNA from 1 species
GACGAACGCUGGCGGCGUGCUUAACACAUGCAAGUCGAACGGAAAGGCCCUGCUUUUGUGGGGUGCUCGAGUGGCGAACGGGUGAGUAACACGUGAGUAACCUGCCCUUGACUUUGGGAUAACUUCAGGAAACUGGGGCUAAUACCGGAUAGGAGCUCCUGCUGCAUGGUGGGGGUUGGAAAGUUUCGGCGGUUGGGGAUGGACUCGCGGCUUAUCAGCUUGUUGGUGGGGUAGUGGCUUACCAAGGCUUUGACGGGUAGCUGGCCUGAGAGGGUGACCGGCCACAUUGGGACUGGGAUACGGCCCAGACUCCUACGGGAGGCAGCAGUGGGGAAUAUUGCACAAUGGGCGGAAGCCUGAUGCAGCAACGCCGCGUGCGGGAUGACGGCCUUCGGGUUGUAAACCGCUUUCGCCUGUGACGAAGCGUGAGUGACGGUAAUGGGUAAAGAAGCACCGGCUAACUACGUG